rnacentral:rRNA from 1 species
GACGAACGCUGGCGGCGUGCUUAACACAUGCAAGUCGAACGGAAAGGCCCUGCUUUUGUGGGGUGCUCGAGUGGCGAACGGGUGAGUAACACGUGAGUAACCUGCCCUUGACUUUGGGAUAACUUCAGGAAACUGGGGCUAAUACCGGAUAGGAGCUCCUGCUGCAUGGUGGGGGUUGGAAAGUUUCGGCGGUUGGGGAUGGACUCGCGGCUUAUCAGCUUGUUGGUGGGGUAGUGGCUUACCAAGGCUUUGACGGGUAGCCGGCCUGAGAGGGUGACCGGCCACAUUGGGACUGAGAUACGGCCCAGACUCCUACGGGAGGCAGCAGUGGGGAAUAUUGCACAAUGGGCGGAAGCCUGAUGCAGCAACGCCGCGUGCGGGAUGACGGCCUUCGGGUUGUAAACCGCUUUCGCCUGUGACGAAGCGUGAGUGACGGUAAUGGGUAAAGAAGCACCGGCUAACUACGUGCCAGCAGCCGCGGUGAUACGUAGGGUGCGAGCGUUGUCCGGAUUUAUUGGGCGUAAAGGGCUCGUAGGUGGUUGAUCGCGUCGGAAGUGUAAUCUUGGGGCUUAACCCUGAGCGUGCUUUCGAUACGGGUUGACUUGAGGAAGGUAGGGGAGAAUGGAAUUCCUGGUGGAGCGGUGGAAUGCGCAGAUAUCAGGAGGAACACCAGUGGCGAAGGCGGUUCUCUGGGCCUUUCCUGACGCUGAGGAGCGAAAGCGUGGGGAGCGAACAGGCUUAGAUACCCUGGUAGUCCACGCUGUAAACGGUGGGUACUAGGUGUGGGGUCCAUUCCACGGGUUCCGUGCCGUAGCUAACGCUUUAAGUACCCCGCCUGGGGAGUACGGCCGCAAGGCUGAAACUCAAAGGAAUUGACGGGGCCCCGCACAAGCGGCGGAGCAUGCGGAUUAAUUCGAUGCAACGCGUAGAACCUUACCUGGGUUUGACAUGGAUCGGGAGUGCUCAGAGAUGGGUGUGCCUCUUUUGGGGUCGGUUCACAGGUGGUGCAUGCCUGUCGUCAGCUCGUGUCGUGAGAUGUUGGGUUAAGUCCCGCAACGAGCGCAACCCUUGUUCACUGUUGCCAGCACGUUAUGGUGGGGACUCAGUGGAGACCGCCGGGGUCAACUCGGAGGAAGGUGGGGAUGACGUCAAGUCAUCAUGCCCCUUAUGUCCAGGGCUUCACGCAUGCUACAAUGGCUGGUACAGAGAGUGGCGAGCCUGUGAGGGUGAGCGAAUCUCGGAAAGCCGGUCUCAGUUCGGAUUGGGGUCUGCAACUCGACCUCAUGAAGUCGGAGUCGCUAGUAAUCGCAGAUCAGCAACGCUGCGGUGAAUACGUUCCCGGGGCU